GACAGAGGGUGCGAACGUUGUUCGGAAUUACUGGGCGUAAAGCGCAUGUAGGCGGCCGCGCAAGUCGGGCGUGAAAUCCCACGGCUCAACCGUGGAAGUGCACUCGAAACUGCGCAGCUAGAGUCCUGGAGAGGAAGGUGGAAUGCUUGGUGUAGAGGUGAAAUUCGUAGAUAUCAAGCGGAACACCGGUGGCGAAGGCGGCCUUCUGGACAGUGACUGACGCUGAGAUGCGAAAGCGUGGGGAGCAAACAGG
rnacentral:rRNA from 1 species